rnacentral:misc_RNA from 1 species
CAGUCUUCUCCUGAUUGACCUAACGGGGUGUUGCUGUUUGUGUGCACUUUUCUUGUUCUCUUCUCCAUCCAUCCCUCCCUCUUCGCUUCCCAAAAGACAACAAGAGAAGGCGAAGAGAAGCUCCGCUUCGCGUUCUCGCUUCGUUCUUUGGCACCUCCGCCUUUGAGGGCGGGACGCCCAUCACUCAAGGCUUUCCUUCGCUUGUUUGUUUUCUUUUGGGCGACUAACACACGUACCGCCGCCGCCGCUGCCUCCCCCUGCUUCUCUCCGCCUGCCCCAGAACUGUUUGGCCGUCACUCACCCUCUGCACAUCAAAACGCCCACGGAAAGUGCACCUACCUCGUUCUGCGAAAGCAACGGCGUGGACUUACCCGGCCUAAGCUGCAGGGUGCUCAUGUCUUUUUCACCGAAUCCAAUGGGUGCUGGGGCCGCUUCGGUGGCCCCCGAGCCAACUGGCGGCCCCGAGGCAUCCCCGCGAAGUGUGCGCAGCAACACCCUCUAUGCCGUGCUCAACGUCUCUCACACCGCGACUUUGGAGGAGAUUACAGCAGCUUACCGCAAGCUUGCCCUUGUGUACCAUCCUGACCGCCCAAACGGCUUGCAGUGGAAGUUCCAAGAGAUUCAGCGCGCCUACGAGGUUCUCAGUCAGAAGGAUGCGCGCGCCAAGUACGACAUCCUACUGAGAGGAAAACUCGCCAUGCAGAACUUUAAGCGUCCGCCCCCGCUAGAGUCGGUGCUGCAGCCUGUCUACGCGCUGCUCGCCGACGGCGCCUUCUACGAGUUUGAGGCGGCGCCCAGCAAGCUCAAGUGCAGCUUUCACUACGGCGACGGCAUUCAGUUCAACAGCGACUGCGGCAGCUUCAUCGGGCUCGCCGGCGACGGCUUCAUAUAUUGGACCAUCAGCGGGCGUGGGUUUGCUUCGCGGCUGUGCAAGGCAGGCAGCACUUUUGCCCUCUCCAGCGUUCGCGUCAUGUAUCGUAGCAACAUGGGGCUGCUCAAGAUGCCACUAAAGCGCUCGUCUUUGCGGUCUUCCCACACCAGUCGCCCCGCCGGCUCUGCUGGCGGCAAGGGGGCUGUGAGAGGCAGCACCGGCGAUGCUGGGCCCUCGGAGAGAGCGAGCAGCGCCACCUGUGCGCGCGCUGCCAAAACGUCCGAGGCGGAUCUCAUCAAGAAGGCGUUGCUGAACAAGGAACGAAGCCGCAAUUUGAAGAGGCGGAUGGAGAUGCUUAAGGAGGAGGAGACAGAGGAGCGCAAUUAUCUCCAACAGGAUCUGUGGGGGCAGUUCAGCUCGUUGCACACGACGGCAGAGGCGGCGUUUCGGUGUACGCUGCAAGGCGCCGCUGUGCCGGUGGAGAUGGCGCUUUGGAUGGGCUAUAAGUCUCCGGAGGAGGUGAUGCUGCGCUCAUCUGAUGCAUGCAGCUCGCCAUUGCUUGCCGAGCAGGUGUCGCUGCAGGCCUCCUCGUUGUGGGUAGACCCGCUGCAAAGCGACUACUACAGCGACGACGAAAUGCUGCGGGAGGCUUGCGACGGCAACAAGGAAGACAGCAGACAUUGCAUUAACAACGGCGGAGACGUCGCCGCGCGUCACAAGCCUGACAGCGCCGACAGCUCGCCUUGCUCUUCGCAGCCCAGGCCAACUUCCGACGCAGCGCCAGAUGGUGACGCCUUCCGCGGGCGUUCGGCGACGGCACCGGAGUCGCACUCACCGAUUCUGCAUCGCUUCAACAACGGUGCGGCUGCUGUCAGUGGAACUUCUGAUGGGGCGGAAGUGGCAGAAAAACAAAUAGUUGCAUCCCCGUCCACGCCGCCACCGUGCCCAAUAUCACCGAUAGAGUCGUCAGGUGAAGCCGCCCCGCUGCACCCCACAAGUGACUCAUACGUCCCUCCCACCUCGCAACCGUCUUGUGCCGCGAAUGUACCGGUAGCGAAGCUUGCAGCGCAGGAGGAGGCGCCACUGACCGGCUUGCAGAGCAACCGUCAGCCUCACUCUAGUGGACUGUACACCAGCGCAGAGUCGGGUGAGCCCGCUUCGUCUUCCCUCGGCGUUUCCUCGCGGGCGAUUGGAAAGACCGUGAAGGCGGUGGCCCGAGCGAAGAGAGGUGUCGUAAUGAGCGACUCCGCAGCUGCACUCCCUUCUCGGAACGUCGGCGUUAAGGAUGAGCGUUCCCUGAGGGCUGGCUCAAAGGCGGCGACCGUCUCCUCGGACGCCAGCCCGCAGAAGGUUUCUGUCACCGGGACACCGGCCGGAGAGUUCAGCAAGGACCGCAAAGCUUGCCCGCCGCUUCCAAGACGAAAAAACAACGGCGGCGGCGUUGGAGAUGCGAUGCUGCCGGUGAGGUUAGGGCCCAUUCUUCAGGAGAAGCCGGAGCGGAGUGCGAAAGGCAAUAAUGCGGUUCUGAGCAACAAGAAUCCCGUGCCGAAGGGAAAGGAGCAGACAAGACCACGGUGGAUGAUGGCGACCGAGGCCUACGCGCGCCGUGCAAACUUGCCGCUGGAAAACUCCCUCAACGCGACAACGCAGAGCUCCUCGUUCUGUCAUGAGGCCAGUCGAGCGUACAAUAGCUUGACCGCUGAUCAACUUUUUGAGGAGGAGCGGGCUUUCAUGGAAUCUUUUUCUAAGACGAAGCGUAUCAUCUGAUGACGCGGCAGCUCUCUGAGCAACACGAGGGACCGACUCCGUCGCAUGGAUUCUUUGCCGCUUCGUCAACGAUGCGGAUAACAAUGGUGACCCUCCCAAGCGAGAGGUGCUCAGGGGGCAGUGAUCACCUCACCUCACCUUCCCUCGCCGUUGUUGUUUCCCCACCUUUUGCUUCGCCCCCUUUUCGUUUGACUUGCAUGCCCUCCCCUCACUUUUUGCAUGACGUUAUGGUUUCAUGCGUGCGCGGCGACUCUGACUUGUUUUGUAGUUUCUGUGCGUCUCCACUCGUAUUGUGUUGCCGCUUCUGCGUUUCCUUUCCUAUGCCGGGUUUCCUUAUUUCUGUUCAGCAUUUCCGUUGCAGUGUCGGCGUCUGAAAGGCGGAGACUUGCCUUUGUCUCGUGCCUCUCUCGCCCUCUCCUUUUCCUCCUACGGCAAACCCUUAUGCAGACAAAGACACAUGCGCAUGUAGUGUGCGCUCCGUGUGAUGGCGGUGUGGCACGGCUCAACCGUGAUCCCUCCUCUCUUCUGGACUCGGCACUGUUGCCGGUAUUGCGGAUGUGCCUCUCAACAAGGUCUGCAUCGUCGCCUUUCGUUUUCCUUUGUUGGUUCGACAUCGUCUUUUCUUUGGUGGUGGAUCUGUGCGUCUAUUGCGUGACGCACCUGUGCACUUCUUCGCUGCUUUCUCUCUUCCGAUGUGGGCAUCUGCCUACGUGUAUGUGGUAUUCGGCGACUGGGUGUGGUAUAGCAGUGCAGCUUCUUUGCCUUUUCUCCCCCUUUGUUUUGGGUGUUCUGUGUGUGUGUGUGUGCGCCAUGGUGCGCUGCGUGUCUCGUCCACUGACUCUCUCUUUUUGUUGUGCUCGUUUUGGUUGGCUGAUGAGGAUAUGACCACACGUGGGCCCGCCGCCCUCCCCCUUCCCCCUCCCCCUUGUUGUCCUCGUUUUAGGUGGAUGGGGAGGGGAGGAGGGGUAGUGGUGGUGAUGAGUGGGCUUUCCGUUUCUGGAGUUUUGUUAGAUUUCGUUUUGGUGCUCAUCUUCUCGGGUGUUUUCUCCACAACGUCUUUUGUGUCUCUCUCCCUCUUUUCUUUUUCGUUCAUGUUCAGCUUUGGAUUUGUGCUUGUUUCGGCUCUGCUGCCGCAGUCACGCCAUCUGCGCGUGUGCGUGUGCGGUAGUGCGGAUCUCCUCUUGUUCUUUGUCGCUUCUUAUGUUGUUCUCCAAUCCCGCUUGCUUGCGUGCGUAUGUGUGCAUGCCUUUUUCUCUCUCGCCACCUCUCCGUCCAUCAGAUGUGCUUCUUCGUCGUGUUCUCGUAUCGCGCGCUUUCUUUUUUGCAUUACAUCUCGUUGAUUCUCUUUGCCUCCCCCCCCCACACACACCGAAACAACGGACACGCCGUUCGUUUCCCUUCCGUCUCCUCCAUCGCCGUCUUCCCUUACUUUCGAAAAGUUGUCUUUCGACCCUUUUCUUUUCUCGCACCCUCAUCCCUUCCUCCUUCCCUUGCCUCUCGCUGUCGAAUUCUCUUCGGAGGUGCCCCUCAUCUGAGUCACGCGAAUUUCUCUUGUUCUUUUUUUUGGGGGAGGGGGUUAGCGUACAGGCCUAUACCGCUUGCUCACACUCCCUCACUCUUCUUUCCGUCGACGUGCAGCGUCGUCGUCGUCACGACAGCUGUAUGUGCGCUUCGGAGGAUUGGCAUGGUCACAGUCCACGGAGAGGAUAGCGAUGAAAAGUCAGCAACGCAGGAAGGGGAUUCACCGGGGCCACUCAGAGGAGCGACGCCACUACUGAAGACGAUAAACAGAGGAAGAUGUGGGGAGCCGUGUGGCGUGCCAAGCAUCUCUCCAUCAACUCCCCCACGUGUGCCCCGGCUUUGCCUCUCUUCUUUUUUCCUCAUGAAACCCUUUCGACCUAAUCCCGAUUCUAAGACGGAAGCAGCGGCAAUCCUUCACUCUGUUCUCUUUUUGUAUUUUCGCGUUCGUUGUCUCUCCUUUUCGCUCCCUCGGCAACGCGCGCGCGCGUGUGUGUGUGUGUUUUGCUUCCUUUUUACACAUGUAAGGAUGAGCAACACAUCCUACACCCCAUUGUAUGCCGCUAACUUGGAUGCGCACGGUGCAGCAAGGACUACCUUGGCGGUAGAACAUAGAUCGAGCAAAAGAGAACAACAUGGGCGGCCAAAAGGAGGGGAAAAACGACAGGGAAUGUGGCGCGCCGGUGACAAGGGAAACCGGUAUACUGAAGAGCGAGAGCGAGAGGGGGAUGGGGAGGGGCGUGGGGGGCAUCUCAUUCCACCAAACGAGCAAAGAGCAAAUAAACUUAUGAAGACAAAAGCUGUCCCUUCCCCUCCACCCAAGCGCACACACACACACACACACGCAGAGACGCUCUCCCCCUCUGCUGCGCCUCCUCUUUCAUCUGAGGUGUAUGCUUUCUUCCUCCAUUUUGGCGUUG